AUUGAACGCUGGCGGCAGGCCUAACACAUGCAAGUCGAACGAGUGGCGGACGGGUGAGUAAUGGCUGGGAAACUGCCUGAUGGAGGGGGAUGACUACUGGAAACGGUAGCUAAUAACGCAUACCAUCGAAUGUGCCCAGAUGGGAUUAGCUAGUAGGCGGGGUAAAGGCUCACCAAGGCGACGCUCCCUAGCGGGUCUGAGAGGAUGACCAGCCAGACUGGAACUGAGACACGGUCCAGACUCCUACGGGAGGCAGCAGUGGGGAAUAUUGCACAAUGGGCGCAAGCCUGAUGCAGCCAUGCCGCGUGUAUGAAGAAGGCCUUCGGGUUGUAAAGUACUUUCAGCGGGGAGGCGUUACCCGCAGAAUAAGCACCGGCUAACGACGUGCCAGCAGCCGCGGUAAUUC
rnacentral:rRNA from 1 species